CCUCCUUAUUCGAACCACCACAACCGGCAGCCAUCUGCCGACCACCAACUACCCAGACCCGACCACCCACUUCGCCGGCCGACCACCUACUCCCACCAUACCUCCCUUCGCUCUCCCUCCUCCUUCGAAAUACUCCCUGCCUCCCUUCCCUCUCCUCUUCGUGGCACCACCAAAGCAACACCACCACUCCGUCGGUCACCAAUCACCAACCCCACGAACCACCAGCCACCACGUCGAGCACCCAGAACCACCCUUGCUUCUUCCCUGCUUCACCACUCUCCACCCCUGUUCGCGCCCCUCUUCCCCUUCCCUCGCCUGUUUCUGCCGCCUCAAACCACCAUCACCGUCGCCUCUCGGCGCGGUUCCGCCGCCCAGGCUGAGCCGCCCAGCCUCCCUCCUCUUCGUGCCCUGCGUCCCCGUGCCCCCCUCCCCUGCUGCUCGUGUUCUGCAAUUUCAGAAACAAAGUUUCUGAAAUUGAAACUUUGUUUUAUUCCUCCUUAUUCAAGUUGGGCCAAAUCAAUUGGGCUUUGGAAAUUGGACUCGGAGUUCAGGAAGAACGAUCCAUCGAACAGGGAAUAUAAACUACGGUUGAGGUACGAAGAAGAUCAUGGGAUGCCUUAGAGUGAGGAUGCAACCAUCAAAUUCACGAUCGAUGUUUAGUAAAGAUAAUUAUGUCAUUAGCAAUAAAGGGAUGUAUUAUUUAAAGUCUAAGUUUGAUUUCAUGAUUUGAGUUAGAUUUUAAUAUUAAUGUUUAAUCAGAUGCUAAAAGUAUUUAUUAUUAAAGUUUA